GAAUGAAGGUCAACAAGACGGGUAGAGGGUAUACCUGGACUUCCUUGGGGAUGUAGAUCAACAAGAGGUGGUAGAGGUCAACAUGAGAAGAUCAAAUAAGAACUAUUUGAUAAUGCACGUUAUUUACAAAAGCCCCAUACCUGCCAUAAUUGGGUAAUACUCGUCAAUGUUGUGACUCGAAUGAAGGUCAACAAGACGGGGUAGAGGUAAACCUGGACUUCCUUGGGGAUGUAGAUCAACAAGAGGGGGUAGAGGCCAACGUGAGAAGCUAGAGUAGAGGUCCAUUUCAAAGUAAACUUACAGGAGGACAAAGCUACCAACUGCUUACAGGAAAAGCUUGAACCUGGUCGAGCUGGGAACAUUGAUAAAGAAAAGGUGUAAUUUAGCUUUGCGUAAAAUUCAGAGAAGUUGCAUAUGUAUAAAUUGUAUGAUUCACAAGUCCGAAAACCUUCAAGUGUCUUAUUGAAUGUGCUGCCGACGGAAGCAUAAA